UUUCUUUCAGAAUGCAAUACUUCUGAAUUUUUUCCCCUCCUUGUUUGCAUUUCUCAGUUUGCUGCUGGUUCUGCCUUCUGCCAAUUUACCCUGAAAAUAUGAGGGUUAAUACUCAAUCUGACUCAAACAGUCACAAUUAAUACUUGGAUACCUCUAACCUUUUGCAGUAUUAAGUGAAGUCCCAUCCUGCUGAGACACCGACAGGUGAAGACUGUCAUUCUUAUCUAGAAUUUGACAAGCUAGAAUACCUUUGCUGAGCUCCUGGGUGAGCCAGGCCCGGACGCCUCCUGCGCUUUGGCCAAGUCUGGCACCCACAUGGGGUUUGCCAGUGUCCUGCUUCUCUGCAAGUGGGUCGGAACGUGUGUGUAUCCCAUUAACUCUAUCCUCGCUGCUCUCAAGAUGUUCCGCACAGAUGAUUUUAUUUUUUUUGUAAGAAAAUAUAUUUUACUAGGCAGUUUUAUGAGAGCUGACAAAAUGCCUCGUAAAUAACCCAGCAGGAAA